ensembl:lncRNA
AUGGGAUGGGAAUGAGGGCAGGGAUGGGGAUGGAGAUGGGAUAGGAUGGAAAUGAGGGCAGGGACGGGGAUGGGAUGGAGAUGGGAUGGGAAUGGGAUAAAGAUGGAGAUGGGAUAGGAUGGGAAUGAGGGUGGGGAUGGGAUGGAGAUGGGAUAGGAUGGAAAUGAGGGCAGGGAUGGGGAUGGGGUGAAGAUGGAGAUGGGAUGGGAAUGAGGGUGGGGUGAAGAUGGAGAUGGGAUGGGAAUGAGGGCGGGGAUGGGGACGGAGAUGGGAAGGAGGGCAGGAACGGAGAGGGGAUGCGGACAGCGAUGGGGAUGGAUGGGAAUGGGGAGGGGAUGGGCUCAGAUGGGUCCAUCUCCGCACCCGGCCGAGGGAAGGCGCCGCGCUCGGAGCGGACCCCGGGACUGAGCGCAGGGCUGAAGCUCCGCGCCUGAGAG